GCCCUGUUCGUCUAGCGGCCUAGGACGUAGCCCUCUCAAGGCUAAAACACGGGUUCGAGUCCCGUACGGGGCA
rnacentral:tRNA from 1 species